ACGAGUUUGAUCAUGGCUCAGGAUGAACGCUAGCGGCAGGCCUAACACAUGCAAGUCGAGGGGUAGAGUUCUUCGGGACUUGAGACCGGCGCACGGGUGCGUAACGCGUAUGCAAUCUACCUUAUACAGGGGAAUAGCCCAGAGAAAUUUGGAUUAAUGCCCCAUAGUGUUAUCGAAUCGCAUGGUUUGAUAACUAAAGUUCCAACGGUAUAAGAUGAGCAUGCGUCCCAUUAGUUAGUUGGUAAGGUAACGGCUUACCAAGACAAUGAUGGGUAGGGGUCCUGAGAGGGAGAUCCCCCCACACUGGUACUGAGACACGGACCAGACUCCUACGGGAGGCAGCAGUGAGGAAUAUUGGACAAUGGGCGCAAGCCUGAUCCAGCCAUGCCGCGUGCAGGAAUAAGGUCCUAUGGAUUGUAAACUGCUUUUAUACAGGAAGAAACACACCCUCGUGAGGGUACUUGACGGUACUGUAUGAAUAAGGACCGGCUAACUCCGUG
rnacentral:rRNA from 1 species